UGGGGAAUCUUGGACAAUGGGCGCAAGCCUGAUCCAGCCAUGCCGCGUGGGUGAAGAAGGCCUUCGGGUUGUAAAGCCCUUUUGUUGGGAAAGAAAUCCAGCUGGCUAAUACCCGGUUGGGAUGACGGUACCCAAAGAAUAAGCACCGGCUAACUUCGUGCCAGCAGCCGCGGUAAUACGAAGGGUGCAAGCGUUACUCGGAAUUACUGGGCGUAAAGCGUGCGUAGGUGGUCGUUUAAGUCCGUUGUGAAAGCCCUGGGCUCAACCUGGGAACUGCAGUGGAUACUGGACGACUAGAGUGUGGUAGAGGGUAGCGGAAUUCCUGGUGUAGCAGUGAAAUGCGUAGAGAUCAGGAGGAACAUCCAUGGCGAAGGCAGCUACCUGGACCAACACUGACACUGAGGCACGAAAGCGUAGGGGAGCAAACAGGAUUAGAUACCCAUGUAGUCCCUGAGCGGGCUGGCAAGGCGCAU
rnacentral:rRNA from 1 species